rnacentral:rRNA from 1 species
CCUACGGGUGGCAGCAGUGAGGAAUAUUGGUCAAUGGGCGGAAGCCUGAACCAGCCAAGUAGCGUGAGGGAUGAAGGUACAGAGUAUCGUAAACCUCUUUUGUCAGGGAACAAAGGCGGGGACGCGUCCCCGGAUGAGUGUACCUGAAGAAAAAGCAUCGGCUAACUCCGUGCCAGCAGCCGCGGUAAUACGGAGGAUGCGAGCGUUAUCCGGAUUUCUUGGGUUUAAAGGGUGCGCAGGCGGUCCUUUAAGUCAGCGGUCAAAGCCCGGGGCUCAACCCCGGCCCGCCGUUGAAACUGGCAGUCUCGAGUUGGAGAGAAGGAUGAGGAAUGCGCGGUGUAGCGGUGAAAUGCAUAGAUAUCGCGCAGAACUCCGAUUGCGAAGGCAGCAUGCCGGCUACACACUGACGCUGAGGCACGAAAGCGUGGGUAUCGAACAGGAUUAGAUACCCUAGUAGUC